AACGAACGCUGGCGGCAUGCCUAACACAUGCAAGUCGAACGAGACCUUCGGGUCUAGUGGCGCACGGGUGCGUAACGCGUGGGAACCUGCCCUUAGGUUCGGAAUAACUCCCCGAAAGGGGUGCUAAUACCGGAUAAUGUCUUCGGACCAAAGAUUUAUCGCCUUUGGAUGGGCCCGCGUUGGAUUAGCUGGUUGGUAGGGUAAAAGCCUACCAAGGCGACGAUCCAUAGCUGGUCUGAGAGGAUGAUCAGCCACACUGGGGCUGAGACACGGCCCAGACUCCUACGGGAGGCAGCAGUGGGGAAUAUUGGACAAUGGGCGAAAGCCUGAUCCAGCAAUGCCGCGUGAGUGAUGAAGGCCUUAGGGUUGUAAAGCUCUUUUACCCGGGAUGAUAAUGACAGUACCGGGAGAAUAAGCUCCGGCUAACUCCGUG
rnacentral:rRNA from 1 species